UGCAGAAUCCCGUGAACCAUCGAGUCUUUGAACGCAAGUUGCGCCCGAAGCCAAUAGGCCGAGGGCACGUCUGCCUGGGUGUC
rnacentral:rRNA from 1 species